rnacentral:rRNA from 1 species
GACGAGUCUCACAAACGUUAUUCGGAGUUACUGGGCUUAAAGGGUGCGUAGGCGGUGAGGUAAGUCGGGUGUGAAAUACCAUAGCUUAACUAUGGAACUGCACUCGAUACUACUUCGCUAGAGUAAGACAGAGGUGAGUGGAACUGAGGGUGGAGCGGUGAAAUGCGUUGAUAUCCUCAGGAACACCGGUGGCGAAGGCGACUCACUGGGUCUUUACUGACGCUGAUGCACGAAAGCUAGGGUAGCAAACAGG